rnacentral:rRNA from 1 species
GGAUCUUGCAUCCUUUACCGGUUGACCUCGGAUCA